rnacentral:tRNA from 1 species
GCCGCCAUGGUGAAAUUGGAGAACA